GAUUUCUGGUUUGGUGCGCCUGGCCCGCCACGGUUACGUGUGUGAGUGCUGGGUCGCGCCUGCCAUCCUUCUAGAAAACGUUACUACUCUUAAUUGAGCCGGUAUCGCAAUCUAGAUCUUUUACUUUGAAAAAAUUAGAGUGUUUAAAGCAGGCUUUUGCUAUGAAUACAUUAGCAUGGAAUAAUAAUUUAGGACUUCGGUUCUAUUUUGUUGGUUUCUAGGACUGAAGUAAUGAUUGAUAGGGAUAGUUGGGGGUGCUAGUAUUCAGCGGCCAGAGGUGAAAUUCUCGGAUUCGCUGAAGACUAACUUAUGCGAAAGCAUU
rnacentral:rRNA from 1 species